UUUAGAAAAGAGGAAGGAAGUCAAGAAGUGAGGAUAUAAAAUCAGAUGGGUUAUUCAAGUGGACAUCUAUCUCACCCAGAAUGAUGGCAAAACUUAGGAUGGAGAGAAGUUGUAAAUUGGUUGCCAGUACCUUCAGUGGAUAAGGGAUGAAUGAUACUAAUGGAGUGUAAGAGAAGGUGUUAAGGCUAAAUCCAAGAGCCUUGAAGAAACAGGUUGAGGUUGAUAAUGUUAUUUUGGUGAGAAGAAUUUGAGGGAUUGUGUGUGCCAGGCACUCUUGCAAGGCACAAAAAACACUGUGUAAAUAUUGCAAGGCCCUGUCCUCUUAGAGGAGCGCACACUAUAGAAGAAGACAGCCACAUGUGCAGUUAGUGACAGUACAGUGAGAUCCUACCUUCAAAGUAUAGUGGGAGCCUCAAGGAAGUACAGGUUAUGUUUAGCUGAAGAAAUCAUUGAAGGUUUCACAGGAGAGAUAAUAUCUGAACUAAAAAGUUUAUGUAGUUUCUCAAGUGGAGGAGGAGAAGGACAUUACAGUAAGAAUUAUAAGAUGUACGGUUCCUAACUAUGACAGACAAACAUAAACUCAAAAUGAUAGCAUCCCUUCUCAUAGUAAGCACUGACGUAAUACGGAGUUCUCUAUCAUUAUAAUAUCUCCAUCUCUUAGCCAAUAGUUCUAUUUUUUUGUUCUAGAGUUCAACAUUGUUCUCUAAUGGGAUGAUUGAAAGCAUGUAUCUGGUGUGUGUAUGUCCUUGUGUUUUUGGUGUUUCUUUUAAAGUUAUGCUUGAAAUAAUAUUUUACCAAAAAUAAAUGCAGAGGUGCUCUAUAAAAAAACAAAAUACAAUUCUUUGAUUAUUUGCCAUUGUUGCUGCAAACACUCCUUCAGGAAAUUAAAUGUCUACUAUAUGGGUGAAGUUCUGUUUUAAACCACAAGGAUACAAAGAUGAACAUGAUAGUCUCUGAUCUCAGGGAACUCAUCCUUUAUUAUGAUCCAGGAACAAGAUGUUUGGGCAGUAUCAAUAUACUAACCACAGGGAAUGCUAUGACCUUUUUAAAAAUCACAACUUAUUUCUCUUAAAUCCUCAGACGUGUUUUUAGAAUGUUGAUUUAUUCCUUCGCUGUUUAUGGAAAGAGAUUUGAUUUCAUCAAACUGAAUAUAGUUAAACAAAAUUUUGGUUCAUUUGAUAGAGUAAUCUAUAAUAAGCCUCAAAACAAAGUAUGUUUUUUCUUGAAUUUAAGAGCCUUCCUAAUUUUGGCUUUAUUCCUCAAAGGUUGUGAACAUGAGAAAAGAAGUGAAGAGAAUCUGAGCUUUGGUUAUCCGAAAACUUGUCAGGAGUGUGAGCAGACUGCAGUCAAAAAAGGGUGCUGAAGAUGCACUGUUAAAAAACCAGAGACGGGCACAACAAUUGCUUGAAGAAAUCCGUGCCAUGAAGAAAGAUAAAUCUGGAGGAGCAUGGAGGCAUGAUAAACCAGGACCAGUGUGCUGAGUAUUGGGAGAAAUGUAAAAUUGGAAACUCAACUGUACUUGGGAGAGAGAUCCUGUACAUGAUGCUGAUAGCAAAAUGUACAGUAAGUGCCUCAUGUGUAAACAUACUUGAUGGUACCAGUAAACCUUGGGGUUUAACUGUAGUAACUGGUUUUACAGUGAGAGUUGAUCCUGCCCUAAUAUCUGAAGAGGAUUCCUCAAGAAAGCAAAAAGAGCCGUCGUGAAAUAUACAAUUAUUUAUCUGCUUGACAGCUAAAACAAAGAAGAGAUGCCAGUUAACAAUUUGGCCACCAUGGAAGAUAAAAAUAAUCAGGAAGAGGAAAAUGGUCUUUUAUGAUUGUUGAGUGCUUUAAAUGAGAAAUGAGAACAAAAUAAGAAGUCUGUCUGGUUUCUUACCAGAUGAUUUUCACUGAAGUAGACUGCCUGAUGUUAUUGUUGAAACUUCAUGUCUCUAAGGAACUGUCUCCACUGUUGCAUCAAUUAGGAUUCUUGCUCGAGUGCUUAUACAAGGGAUUCAUUACUCAUUUUUUAAUCUGAGAUACUAAGAACCCUUUUGUUUAUAUACUUACUUUUAGUCUUGUCAACAAUGCCCUUCCCCCCAAAAAGGUAGUCUUUUUGGUGUAAAGUUUGAGUGUUGAGAAUUAUCAGCUCUUCAAACCAAAGAGAGUAACUCAUGGUCUAGAAGCCUUUGAGUAGUAUUUUACACUAAAGUGGAGAUAAAAUUAGAAGAUGUUUCCUACACUAGAAGAUAAAAGUUACUAUUGGCACUCAAAAUAUUAAAUAUGAUAUUAUGAUUUCACUUACUUUUCUCUUUGAGAGAUUUAGAUGACAAUAUCCUCUGAGUAACAGAUUUGAUCUGUUUUUACCAAUAUUGUGAUGAAAAAGCUACUUAAAUAAUUGUGACUUUUCACAGCUGUGAGAUCCUUACUGAUUGAAAUUUUUCAUCAAGAGUGCACAAUAAUGUAGAUAUUUCACCAAAAUAUUCUAUGUAGAUAGAGAUGAUAUUGAUGUAGAUACAGACACAGACAUAGAUAUUUACUGACAUAUUACCUAACAUUGGUUUAUUUAGUGACCCAUGAACUCUUUUAGAAUGAAAAAAAUCUCUGAAAGCCAAUGAGGCAAAUAUAAGUCAGUCAGACACAUUUCAGUCAGUCAUUUCCCCAAAUAUUGCCUCUUAAUAAGUUUAAAAGAAAAAAAAAAGAGUAAGAAAAAAAGAAAAGAAAGACUUAUCAGAAUUUGCCCAGACUAUUCAGGGUGUUCUAGGAACUUCCUGAUUGAGGAUUGGAUGGCUCGAGAACAAGUCAGGGUCUUGUAGAGGCAGUGCCUUCAAGUAUAUCAGAAUGAACGAGUGGCCUGGAGACUGUGACACAGCUCAGCAGGAAACUGCGUCUCUCUGGCAGUCCUCCCUCCGUCACAUGGGAGCAGUUUUAUCUAUGGGAACUGCCCAGAGGGGGAACUGACAGAGCUGAUAUCAACAGAAAAGCAAAGUUUUAAAGGAACUAAUUAAAACCAGUCUCAUAAAAAGCCAAAUGGAGUCUCCUGGGAAAAUUUCUUUAAACACAACAAUUUAAGAAGUUUGUGAUCUCUGGAGAUACUUAUUCAAGAAAGAAGUCUUUGAUUAGCUGCUAUGAUACAUAUUUGAUGAUAACUUAGGAACUAUUAUGGAGCAGCUAUGGUCCAAAACCCAGAUUUACAAAACCCUUAAACUUAAUUUUUGUAAUUCUCUUACAGAAGAAUACGUUGAUAAGGGAUAAUUGAAAGAGAAAUGUUAAUGUAAUUGAAAGAAAUAUAAAGAGAAAAUUCUCUAGGGAAAACUUUGUAGAAGGCAGAGAGGAGAAAAUUUUUUUGUUUUGUUUUGUUUUAUGUGAAAGUUUUAUGCACAAGCUGAACAGGUAAUCAUUUCAUGGGUGAUUUUAGAGCCACAAACAAUUCCUACACCAAAGUACCAAUACCCUUUAAAGCUUAAAAAAAAAUAGAAUGCAAUAGUGAUUUUCAUAUAAGCAAAAUCAAACAUACAGUGGACUUAAAGAUGAUAAAACAUGAAUGUCACUUUGGUAACAUCAUUGAAAGCUUUUAAAAAAUAAGCACAUCCUUGUCCUCGAAAUUCCACUGACAUGACAAAUGUGAAAUGUUUGUACAAGGAUGCUAUCAGAAUUUUUUUGGUAAUUUUUAGAAGCAAAAGCAAAGGGGAAUCUAAAAAUUGUCAUUAGUUAUGGCUUAAAAAUGAGGUGUAUUGCCACAUUGGAGAAUUCUUAGGGAAAAACCACAAAAUUUUAAAGAAGGAGAUGAGUUUUAAAAUAUGGUGAAAAACACACACAAAAACCUGAAGUUAAAUAGAUGCAUAAUAUCUUUAAUGAGCUGUAGAUAGGUGCAUAGUAGGUUUUAAGAAUAAUAAGAUAUGUGCACACAUUUACUAAUCACAUUAGUAUAUAAUAUUUCUGGGUACAAUCACAGAAUGUAAAGUUGGGAAAUAUAUGCCCCAAAAUAUUUGGAUUAGUUAUUUCUACCCUAUGUGAUUCUAUACUUUUUUCUUUUGGUGUAUCAGUUUAAUGCUUUUCAAUGAUACGCAUUUUUCUCUAAUAAAAUCAUAAUAAAGAAAAGGAUGCCUUAUAAUCUGCCAAAUACAUUACAUGAUAGAAAGAAUAAACUAUACUUUUAUCUUAAAAUAUGGUCCUAUUUUUUGGCCUAGAACUUGUGCCUGUUGUUUCUAUUGCAUCCUCCUGUGUCUGAGAACAGGUUUGCAACAUUGUUCCAUGUGUCAAAUUAAAAAAUGAAUUUCAUGUGAACCAGUUA